GACUGAGUGACUGAACUAAACUGAAGAACUCUUACUGGUUAAGGAAGCCUAGUGACUGAUGUGAAUGGAACUCAAGGAUUCUAUAGAAUGCUGAGCCCUGAAAGCCUGAUUCAAGAGGUUCACCAGCGGAGUCAGGCUCAGAGAAAAGGAGACAUGCCCUAAUGGGUCUACUGGCCCCAACUGAGAUCAAAGGAUUUCUGGCUGGUGACAAGGAGACCUUCAAUUAGGUGAAACGUUUUCAUUCUCAUUUUCUGUUUUAUUUUUUACAGUAAAUUUUCA